GUCAACAUGGCCGAGUGGUUAAGGCGUAUGACUUGAAAUCAUAUGGGAAUUCCCGCGCAGGUUCAAACCCUGCUGUUGACG
rnacentral:tRNA from 1 species